rnacentral:rRNA from 1 species
GUUAGGAAUAUUGGACAAUGGGCGCAAGCCUGAUCCAGCCAUGCCGCGUGAGUGAUGAAGGCCUUCGGGUUGUAAAGCUCUUUAGCCGAUGAUUAUAAUGACUGUAGUCGGAAAAUAAGCCCCGGCUAACUUCGUGCCAGCAGCCGCGGUAAUACGAAGGGGGCGAGCGUUAUUCGGAAUCACUGGGCGUAAAGCGUGCGUAGGCGGCUUUGCAAGUUGGGAGUGAAUGCACAGGGCUCAACCCUGGAAUUGCUCUCAAAACUGCAAGGCUCGAAUUCGAGAGAGGAUAGCGGAAUUGUCAGUGUAGCAGUGAAAUGCGUAGAUAUUGACAGGAACACCAGUGGCGUAAGCGGCUAUCUGGACCGAUAUUGACGCUGAGGCACGAAAGCGUGGGGAUCAAACAGGAUUAGAUACCCCUGUAGUCC